CACCAAACUAUCGUACACACCAACCUGUGCAACGUUAGAUCACAUGAGCGUGAAGGCAAGAAGCUGGAUAAUGGGCUCUCUUUUCAUCGUUUUCCAUCCUGGAGGCAACGUGAGGGAUCCCAUGUAUCCGAUAUUACUAAACAAAGACGUCAGGCUUGCAUUGCGGCGGUGAGACAAGCGGAUCAAGUUCUGUGCAAUCCCCAGCUUUUUGUUGGUUUGCUCUCUGCAUUUUCUUUCCGCUGCAGAGUCUGAAGGUGUGCCCCGUGCAGAAGUGAUCAAUGAAGAUCUGACAGAAGACCAACAACAAAAUCACCAUGUCAUGGAGGCAGUGGACAGCAGUUGUGUUGGACAAGUGGAGGUUGAGGUACCAGCUGCAAAUGUGGACAGUGGCGAUCGGACAGACAGCAUCACGGAAGCUAAAGGGCAGACGAAGUAUUGUGUGUGCAAUGAACAGGGCAGAGCAGAAAUAAACACAACACUGCUUGAUAAGAUUGUUAAGGUUUGCUGUGUUUUGGUUAAUAUUUGCCCCAAUGUGGUUGUCAAACCAGCGCCAAAUGAAAC
ensembl:lncRNA